ensembl:lncRNA novel transcript
UCCCACACAGCCCUCAGUCCUAAAGGCUGGUCUCACUCCCAUCCUGCCACGCAACAGCACAGGGUCUAUUUCGAGACAGCCAGUGACCAGGGCUGAGAACUUGCCCCAGACCACCAGCCUCCUCACUGAGAAAGCAAGCAGAAUCACAGUUUUUUGGAAUCUCAGGGAGCCUUCAGCGGCAAUCCAGUUCCUUCAAAGGGUCUGUGGAUUCUCUCAGUUUUCAUGAUUCCAGGAACAUGAAGAUAAUGGGAGAGGCAGCCAGUCGGGGGCAAAGAUGCCGUUAAACAGUCAGCCCUGGGCAUGGACGUGCCCCCUCCUACUGAAGUCCUAUAUUCACAUCUUUCUGGGCCUGAUUUCUAAACUGCUUUGCUGAUUUGAUCUGGGGCCCUGGAGUGCCAACAUCCUGUGAUAGCGGCUGAUUGUUGAUGCCUGGGAGGAUACAGCAGUGACGAUCCAAAUUUACAAGACUCAACAUGGUUUUCAAAACUUCCUUUUAAAAAAGAUGUUCCUGAGUUCUGGAAUCUGAACAAAAUAUGUCUGGUUAUUAUAUAAUUCUAAUGGUCCUUGUGGAUGCUACCAUUAGAGUUCAGUUAGUGUCUCAUCUAUCACUGUAAUAUUUGUAUUGUAACACUAAUCGUGGCAAAGUAUGAUUUGAUAAAUGCUCAUUCUCAAA